UACGUAGGGGGCAAGCGUUGUCCGGAUUUAUUGGGCGUAAAGAGCGUGUAGGCGGCCUGGAAGGUCAGCUGUGAAAACUCGAGGCUCAACCUCGAGACGUCGGUUGAAACCACCUGGCUAGAGUCCGGAAGAGGAGAGUGGAAUUCCCGGUGUAGCGGUGAAAUGCGCAGAUAUCGGGAAGAACACCCGUGGCGAAGGCGGCUCUCUGGGACGGUACUGACGCUGAGACGCGAAAGCGUGGGUAGCAAACAGG
rnacentral:rRNA from 1 species